rnacentral:rRNA from 1 species
AUGGGCACCCAUCUUUCCUUCAGUACCGCUUUCCACCCUCAAUCAAGUGGUCAGGUGGAAAGGGUCAACCAAAUUCUCGAAGACAUGCUUAGAGCUUGCGUUAUCUCAUUCGGCAUGGAUUGGGAGAAAUGUCUUCCCUUUGCCGAGUUUGCUUAUAACAAUAGCUACCAAUCCAGUCUUAAGAAAGCACCCUUCGACAUUCUGUAUGGACGAAGAUGUCGAACACCUUUGAACUGGUCAGAAACCGGUGAAAGACAAUUCUUUGGAUCGGAUCUGAUCCAGGAGGCAGAAGAGCAAGUUCGCAUCAUUCUUGAGAAUUUGAAAACAGCCCAAUCUCGUCAAAAGAGCCAGUAUGACCGUCGUCAUAAGGAAGUGGCUUAUGAAGUUGGCGACAAGGCUUACCUUCGGGUUACUCCUUUGAAGGGUACCCAUCGUUUCGGUAUCAAGGGCAAGUUGGCUCCUCGUUACAUCGGUCCUUUUCGCAUUCUCGAUAAACAAGGAGAGGUUGCCUACCAAUUGGAACUACCCCCACAUCUUUCUCGAGUUCAUGAUGUCUUCCACGUCUCUCAACUCAGGUGUUGCUUCUCGGAUCCCAUCCGCGGAGUGGACCACGAAAUGCUUGAUCUCUAA